rnacentral:rRNA from 1 species
GAGUGUAAACCCUUUCGACCCGACGAAUGCCCGCAAGGGACUGACGGUACGGGUAUAAGAAGCCCGGCUAACUACGUGCCAGCAGCCGCGGUAAGACGUGGGGGCCAGCGUUGUUCGGAAUUACUGGGUGUAAAGGGUUCGUAGGCGGUGUGGUAAGUCGAUAGUGAAAUCUCUGGGCUUAACCCAGAGGCUGCUAACGAAACUACCAUGCUAGAGUGUGAGAGAGGCGAGUGGAAUUACGGGUGUAGCGGUGAAAUGCGUAGAUAUCCGUAGGAACAUCCGAGGCGAAAGCGGCUCGCUGGAUCACAACUGACGCUGAGGGACGAAAGCUAGGGGAGCAAACAGGAUUAGAUACCCUGGUAGUCCUAGCCCUAAACCAUCAGGACUUGGGGUUUGCCCUGUACGGGGCAAGUCCCGUAGCUAACGCGUUAAGUCCUGCGCCUGGGGAGUACGGUCGCAAGACUGAAACUCAAAGGAAUUGACGGGGGCCCGCACAAGCGGUGGAACAUGUGGUUCAAUUCGACGCAACGCGAAGAACCUUACCUGGGCUUGAACCGCUACUGACCAACGGUAGAAAUAUCGUCUUCCCGCAAGGGACAGUAGUAGAGGUGCUGCAUGGCUGUCGUCAGCUCGUGCCGUGAGGUGUUGGGUUAAGUCCCGCAACGAGCGCAACCCUUACUCGUAGUUGCUACCCGCAAGGGAGAACUCUACGAGGACUGCUCCGGAUAACGGAGAGGAAGGUGGGGAUGACGUCAAGUCAGCACGGCCUUUAUGUCCAGGGCUACACACGUGUUACAAUGCACGGUACAGACUGUUGCGAACCCGCGAGGGGGAGCUAAUCGGAUAAAACCGUCCUCAGUUCGGAUCGCAGGCUGCAACUCGCCUGCGUGAAGCUGGAAUCGCUAGUAAUGGCGUAUCAGAAUGAUGCCGUGAAUACGUUCCCGGGCCUUGUACACACCGCCCGUCACAUCACGAAAGUGGAUUGCACUAGAAGUCCCAAUUAAC